AAUCCUGGUAAAAUGCAGUAAAGGAUUUAAGGUUAUCGUCUGUCUCUCUCUAACUUCUGACAUCUCUUUAUAACAAGAAAGAGUCACAGCCAACUGUAACAGGAGGGCAACACAAUGAAUCCUGGAGGAAUAUAUACAUGCGGCAGCAGCACUCAGGACAUGAAGAGCUACUUUGAAAGUUGAUGCAUUUCCCAGUGUCUGAGAUGAAGAUGGAAAGUAGAGAAUGAGAAAAUUUGCUGUCCCUGCAGAGUAACUGCUUGCACAAGAUUCAGUUAUGUGCAUCAGCAGAGCAGAAAGGAACAGCAUACAUCCUGCAGAGCUGGAAAAUGCCUUCGUUGACUUUUCAGUAUCCACAGCUUUGACAUGGAGAGGUGCACAUCCAGUGGCCAGAUGUAACUGCAGUCAGCUGUGGCCACUCCAAGCUGGAAAUGAGUGUCUGAGCAUCCUGAUCACUAAUCCUUCCACUGCAGUGCCUGUGUUCUGGCUGCUCUCUUGGGUGUUUUAUGAGAACAUGGAGCUGCAUGUCACAGUACCAUUUUUCUGUGGGUUAAAGGAGACUGUUCUAACACUCCCAGCUUCUGCUGCCCAGGUACCUUCUGCUGAAGAAAUUCUUUGUUACCUUGGACAGUCAGUCACACAGUGCUGGUUGGAUUAUGUGCCUCCUGUUACAUCCACAAGUAUAUGGGAAUAAAGCAAGGAAAGGAGAAUAACAAAGCUUUAGUGGUUUGCUGUCCCUGACGAUGUACUAAAUUGGCAGAAACUGUAAAAGCCUGAGUUAUUUUCCUCAGCAGUCCAGCAUUCAGGGAGACCCAGAGCAUAGGGACAGUUGCUGCCACUGCACGCCAUUCCCCC
rnacentral:lncRNA from 1 species